GACGAACGCUGGCGGCGUGCUUAACACAUGCAAGUCGAACGCUGAAGCUCAGCUUUUGUUGGGUGGAUGAGUGGCGAACGGGUGAGUAACACGUGAGUAACCUGCCCCCUUCUUUGGGAUAACGCCCGGAAACGGGUGCUAAUACUGGAUAUUCACUGGUCUUCGCAUGGGGGUUGGUGGAAAGGGUUUUUCUGGUGGGGGAUGGGCUCGCGGCCUAUCAGCUUGUUGGUGGGGUGAUGGCCUACCAAGGCUUUGACGGGUAGCCGGCCUGAGAGGGUGACCGGUCACAUUGGGACUGAGAUACGGCCCAGACUCCUACGGGAGGCAGCAGUGGGGAAUAUUGCACAAUGGGCGCAAGCCUGAUGCAGCGCCGCCGCGUGAGGGAUGGAGGCCUUCGGGUUGUGAACCUCUUUCGCUCAUGGUCAAGCCGCAACAAUGGUUGUGGUGAGGGUAGUGGGUAAAGAAGCGCCGGCUAACUACGUG
rnacentral:rRNA from 1 species